rnacentral:rRNA from 1 species
GACGAACGCUGGCGGCGUGCCUAAUACAUGCAAGUUGAGCGAUGAAGCUUGGUGCUUGCACCAAUCUGAAGAGCAGCGAACGGGUGAGUAACGCGUGGGGAAUCUGCCUUUGAGCGGGGGACCACAUUUGGAAAGGAAUGCUAAUACCGCAUAACAACUUUAAACAUAAGUUUUAAGGUUGAAAGAUGCAAUUGCAUCACUCACAGACGAUCCCGCGUUGUAUUAGCUAGUUGGUGAGGUAAAGGCUCACCAAGGCGAGGAUACACAGCCGAACUGAGAGGGUGGGCGGCCACAUGGGGAGGGAGACACGGCCCACACUCCUACGAGAGGGAGCAGUAGCGAAUCUGCGGCAAUAGACGAGAGUCUGACCGAACAACGCCGCGUGAGUGAAGAAGGUUUUCGGAUCGUAAAACUCUGUUUGUAGAGAAGAACGUUUGUGGGAGUGGAAAGCUCAUCAAGUGACGGUAACUACCCAGAAAGGGACGGCUAACUACGUG